AUUGAACGCUGGCGGCAUGCCUUACACAUGCAAGUCGAACGGUAACGCGGGGCAACCUGGCGGCGAGUGGCGAACGGGUGAGUAAUGCAUCGGAACGUGCCCAGUAGCGGGGGAUAACUACUCGAAAGAGUAGCUAAUACCGCAUACGCCCUACGGGGGAAAGGGGGGGAUCGCAAGACCUCUUACUAUUGGAGCGGCCGAUAUCGGAUUAGCUAGUUGGUGAGGUAAAGGCUCACCAAGGCGACGAUCCGUAGCUGGUUUGAGAGGACGACCAGCCACACUGGGACUGAGACACGGCCCAGACUCCUACGGGAGGCAGCAGUGGGGAAUUUUGGACAAUGGGGGCAACCCUGAUCCAGCCAUUCCGCGUGUGCGAUGAAGGCCUUCGGGUUGUAAAGCACUUUUGGCAGGAAAGAAAUCGCACGGAUUAAUACUCUGUGUGGAUGACGGUACCUGCAGAAUAAGCACCGGCUAACUACGUGCCAGCAGCCGCGGUAG
rnacentral:rRNA from 1 species